GCCCGUCGCCGCCCGGCCACCCGGCGCCUCGCCGCUUCCCCAUCACAAGGGCCUCAGCCCCGGCGCCCCCCCAGCCCCGGCGACCCCAGCCCUGGCGCGCCUCCGCCCCGGAGACUUCCAUCUCCGGCCUCCUCCCUCCGUCGCCGCCGCGCCUCAGGCCACUCCCUCUGCCACCGACCUAGAUCCCUCCGAGCACCGCGCGCCAUCUCCUGCGAUUCCCAUCACCGCCGGUUUCUAGCGCGGCUCACCGCCUCCCAGCGACGAUGAGGAAGAUGACAGGGGAGCUGCCCGUCUUCACGCAUGGCGCCCCUGGUCCUUGGAUCCCCCCUCCCCGCUCCCCUCCGGCGACCCUACUCGCUCGCCUGGCGCUCGCUCCGGUGACCAGCCGCGCGUCACACGAUAGAUCUCGAAGCUCCUUUACAUUCAGCGCCGCCGCCACACAACCUCAUCUCCGUUUUCUCUUCAUUACGACCUGUAGCCUGUAGGAGUUUCUUCAGCUGCGGUUCAACAAGAAAACCAGCGGCAGUCCAUGCACCCGUUCUAUCUCUUUCCUCUCUAAUGCUCUUUAUCUUACUAAUUUGUUUUCUAUUGGAACUGCAGCCCGAGGGAGGUUGGACGGACAACAUAUUGGUGAUGUUAACAUCAGUCUGUUUAUAUUGAACUGAUGAUCGUGUAUUACUACUGAAGUCAAGCAAUGAGUUCAAUGGAUUCCAAAAAGGAAAAAACUGUGGAUGGGUGAUGAAUCAACUUCCUGUACAGUUGUGCCAUGAGCAGUGGAUGACCCCGACCACCGGCACCACUGCUUCCCGACCUCCUGCUUGCAUCGCGGAGAGCCCUGGCCGUUCACAGCCACCACUCGAGGCCAUUCAACGCCACACCCCAGGCCGUUCAUUGCCAGCAGCACCCUGGAUCCCACCCCUCACCCUACGAGUUUCAGUUAUCGACAAGUCCAUGUAGUACUACAUGCGAAGUACAAAAAUUACUGCUAGUGAGAGUUCAUUUAAAUCCUGCAGUCCUACUUCUCCAUGACGACAAGGACGACGUUGCCAUGCGUGCACGCUCCAACCUGUCCCCUGUCGCAGCCCCACGCACUCCAACCCGAGGACCACCAUGAUGGAGGUCGCCUCACAGCCUAGCGAUGAGUGUUUGUUGGUUUCUCUUUCAUUAAUGGACAUCUUGGGCUUGCUGGGUGCAGAAUCAAAAAGCCCAAUCAUCAUCAGGGAUGAAAAAAAGGAGAGAAGCACGGGAAGAGGUACUAGUAGAAGAGGUAGAAGUAAUGUGGAAAAUGAGAUAAAUGUGAGAAUAGCAAGUAGUAAAGCAUGAGAGGGAUUCAGAUUUUGUUUUCACAUUCUUGCUGUACACGUACCUUUGGUCUGUAGAUGCACCGUAAUGGAUCUAGGAAGUAUGAAUGGUUAAUACCUCAAUGGUGCACUAUGCAUCUUUGGCCGGUUUUUAUGCAUUUUUAAAUGGUUGCGGAGCAAUUUAAUGGUGCGCUAUGCACUGAAGUAUACAUUGUUUA